UACAGAGGUGGCAAGCGUUGUUCGGAAUUACUGGGCGUAAAGGGCGCGUAGGCGGCCUUGUAAGUCCCGUGUGAAAUCCCUGGGCUCAACCCAGGAACUGCGUCCGAUACUGGUUGGCUUGAAUCCGGGAGAGGGAUGCGGAAUUCCAGGUGUAGCGGUGAAAUGCGUAGAUAUCUGGAGGAACACCGGUGGCGAAGGCGGCAUCCUGGACCGGCACUGACGCUGAUGCGCGAAAGCGUGGGGAGCAAACGGG
rnacentral:rRNA from 1 species